CGUGCUAUAGUCACGUGGUGAAGGAAAGGAGAUAAAAGGGAGUGUGACGAGCCCGGAAGUACCGCGUCUAAGAAGUGUUUGUGUUUACCUGGUGUGAGUGUUUGGCCUGCUGUCGGAGGACGGAUGGCGUUUGGUCAGGAGAAGUGCUUGUUGUUAAUACCGGAGCGAGCGACACGGAGCUUUGCUCAGAUUCUCAGAUUCCCGGAUCGACAGCUUAUGAGCUAAACUAUCGACCAAAUGAGAUUCGCCGACUUUGUGUGUCCCAGAGGUUCCUUACACUCCACUUCAGUGAGAUUCAUCACAGCAAAACUUGGUUCGGAAACGAACCAGAGACGCGGUCACUACUGGAAUGUGAAGACGUGUUUUUUGUGUUUUUUAUGAAUGAUCCAAUAAACUGAUUUGAUGUGGACUGCUA